rnacentral:rRNA from 1 species
UACGAAGGGGGCUAGCGUUGCUCGGAAUUACUGGGCGUAAAGGGCGCGUAGGCGGACAGUUUAGUCAGAGGUGAAAGCCCAGGGCUCAACCUUGGAAUUGCCUUUGAUACUGGCUGUCUUGAGUUCGGGAGAGGUGAGUGGAAUGCCGAGUGUAGAGGUGAAAUUCGUAGAUAUUGGGAAGAACACCAGUGGCGAAGGCGACUAACUGGUCCGGUACUGACGCUGAGGUGCGAAAGCGUGGGGAGCAAACAGG